GACGAACGCUGGCGGCGUGCUUAACACAUGCAAGUCGAACGGAAAGGCCCUGCUUUUUUGGUGUGCUCGAGUGGCGAACGGGUGAGUAACACGUGAGUAACCUGCCCUUGACUUUGGGGUAACUUCAGGAAACUGGGGCUAAUACCGGAUAGGAGCUCCUGCUGCAUGGUGGGGGGUGGAAAGUUUCGGCUGUUGGGGAUGGACUCGCGGCUUAGCAGCUUUUUGGUGGGGUGGUGGCUUACCAAGGCUUUGACGGGUAGCCGGCAUGAGAGGGUGACCGGCCACAUUGGGACUGAGAUACGGCCCAGACUCCUACGGGAGGCAGCAGUGGGGAAUAUUGCACAAUGGGCGGAAGCCUGAUGCAGCAACGCCGCGUGCGGGAUGACGGCCUUCGGGUUGUAAACCGCUUUCGCCUGUGACGAAGCGUGAGUGACAGUAAUGGGUAAAGAAGCACCGGCUAACUACGUG
rnacentral:rRNA from 1 species